rnacentral:rRNA from 1 species
GUGGGGAAUCUUGCGCAAUGGGCGAAAGCCUGACGCAGCCAUGCCGCGUGAAUGAUGAAGGUCUUAGGAUUGUAAAAUUCUUUCACCGGGGACGAUAAUGACGGUACCCGGAGAAGAAGCCCCGGCUAACUUCGUGCCAGCAGCCGCGGGAAUACGAAGGGGGCUAGCGUUGCUCGGAAUUACUGGGCGUAAAGGGCGCGUAGGCGGACAGUUUAGUCAGAGGUGAAAGCCCAGGGCUCAACCUUGGAAUUGCCUUUGAUACUUGCUGUCUUAAUUACGGGAGAGGUGAGUGGAACUCCGAGUGUAGAGGUGAAAUUCGUAGAUAUUCGGAAGAACACCAGUGGCGAAGGCGACUCACUGGCCCGUUACUGACGCUGAGGCGCGAAAGCGUGGGGAGCAAACAGGAUUAGAUACCCCUGUAGUCC